UCCCUUAGUAGCGGCGAGCGAACAGGGAAGAGCCCAGCGCCGAAUUCCGCGUCUCAAAGGGCGUUUGGAACAUGUGGCGUUUAGGAGGAAUCUCUCCGAGGGCAGACGGUGUCGCAAGUCCCCCUGAACGGGGCUGUGAUCCAGAGCGGGUGCGAGGCCCAUAGCUGGUACCGUCUCCUUUGGGUGUCCCCUCCUUGGAGUCGGGUUGCUUGGGAGUGCAGCCCUAAUUGGGUGGUAAACUCCACCUAAGGCUAAAUACGUCCGUGAGACCGAUAGCAAACAAGUACCGUGAGGGAAAGUUGCAAAGAACUUUGAAGAGAGAGUUCAAGAGUACGUGAAACCGCUCAGAGGCAAACGGGUGGGCCCACGAAAGCCGAAGGCGGGGGGAUUCAGUCGAGAGGACGGUGGGGCAGGACUGGCUGGUUGGACGGACCGUGCCAGGCCGGGUCAGUUCCCGAGAUCUGCCGCCUUUCGACGCAUUUCCCCCUGCUUAGUAGGACGCCGCAACCGGUUGGUGCUGCAGCCAUAAGGGAGAGUAAAUGGAAGGUAGCCAGUGAGUUCUUCUUCGGAGGCGCAAGCUGGUCCUAAGCCGACUCUCCUGGUGCUUGUGGCCCGACCGUGGUCGUGAGUCCCUCAACGGGAUGUCGCCGAGCCCUCUGACUGGAGCGGGAGAAAUGGCAGGCUGCUUUCCGCGGAAAAAAUCGAUCGCUUCACGCGUGCAGUGGGCGAUCUCCGGAGGUAGCUGCUGGUGCAUUUUUCUCCUGCGCUGGGCACAGGCAGUUGGCGGCGAGUAGGUCGGUCACCCACCCGACCCGUCUUGAAACACGGACCAAGGAGUCUAACAUGUGCGCGAGUCAUUGGGUCUUGAACAAGCCCAAAGGCGCAAUGAAAGUGAAGACCAGCACUGAAGCUGGUGGAGUUGGGAAACUGUGUCACUGAAGAUGCAGUUGCACCAACGGCCCGUCCCGUCCGCAUCGUCGGUGGGGCGGAGCGAGAGCGUACACGUUGGGACCCGAAAGAUGGUGAACUAUGCCUGGGCAGGACGAAGCCAGAGGAAACUCUGGUGGAGGUCCG
rnacentral:rRNA from 1 species